GUGAGGAAUUUUGCGCAAUGGGGGAAACCCUGACGCAGCGACGCCGCGUGGGUGAAGAAGGUUUUCGGAUCGUAAAGCCCUGUCAGGUGGGAAGAAGUGCAUGCCGGUUAAUACCCGGUGUGUUUGACGGUACCACCGAAGGAAGCACCGGCUAACUCCGUGCCAGCAGCCGCGGUAAUACGGAGGGUGCAAGCGUUGUUCGGAAUCACUGGGCGUAAAGGGCGCGUAGGCGGCUAUGCAAGUCAUAUGUGAAAGCCCACGGCUUAACCGUGGAAGUGCAUGUGAAACUGCAUGGCUUGAGUAUCGGAGGGGAAAGUGGAAUUCCCGGUGUAGAGGUGAAAUUCGUAGAGAUCGGGAGGAAUACCGGUGGCGAAGGCGACUUUCUGGACGAAUACUGACGCUGAGGCGCGAAAGCGUGGGGAGCAAACAGGAUUAGAAACCCUUGUAGUCC
rnacentral:rRNA from 1 species